GUUCAUUUAGUUUAAUAUAAAAUUAUGAAAUGUGGUUUCUUAGAUAGCUUAUGGUUGAUGAACAU
rnacentral:tRNA from 1 species